rnacentral:tRNA from 1 species
AUACUAGUGUCAGAAUGUUAUGAGUUGAUUUUAGGAGUCAAAUAUAGGGUUAUUCCUCUAGUAUU